UUGCCUGGAGCCGCCGCCGGUGCAGAUCUUGGUGGUAGUAGCAAAUACUCCAGCGAGGCCCUGGAGGACUGAUGUGGAGAAGGGUUUCGUGUGAACAGCCGUUGCACACGAGUCAGUCGAUCCUAAGCCCUAGGAGAAAUCCGAUGCAAACGGCGAUGGGAAACGCACUGACUUUGAGAGACAGAGACCCAUUAAACGGGCGAAAGGGAAUCCGGUUCCUAUUCCGGAACCCGGCAGCGGAACCGUUGUUUGUCGGGCCCUCGCAAGGGGUUCGUCAGGGCAACCUAAAAGGGCCCGGAGACGCCGUCGGGGGCCCCGGAAAGAGUUUUCUUUUCUGCAUGAGCGUUCGAGUUCCCUGGAAUCCUCUCGCAGGGAGAUAGGGUUUGGAACGCGAAGAGCACCGCAGUUGCGGCGGUGCGCGGGAAUUCCCGACGGACCUUGAAAAUCCGGGAGAGGGCCACGUGGAAGGUGUCGCGCCNGCUCGUACCCAUAUCCGCAGCAGGUCUCCAAGGUGAAUAGCCUCUAGUC
rnacentral:rRNA from 1 species